rnacentral:rRNA from 1 species
UACGGAGGGUGCAAGCGGUAUCCGGAAUCACUGGGUUUAAAGGGUGCGUAGGCGGCUUGAUAAGUCAGGGGUGAAAGCCCGCAGCUUAACUGCGGAACUGCCUUUGAUACUGUAGAGCUUGAAAGAGGUUGAGGUCAGCGGAACGUGACAUGUAGCGGUUAAAUGCAUAGAUAUGUCACAGAACACCGAUUGCGAAGGCAGCUGGCUGGACCUACUUUGACGCUGAGGCACGAAAGCGUGGGGAGCGAACAGG